rnacentral:rRNA from 1 species
UGGGGAAUAUUGCACAAUGGGCGCAAGCCUGAUGCAGCCAUGCCGCGUGUGUGAAGAAGGCCUUCGGUUGUAAAGCACUUUCNGCGAGGAGGAAGGUGGUGAGCUUAAUACGCUCAUCAAUUGACGUUACUCGCAGAAGAAGCACCGGCUAACUCCGUGCCAGCAGCCGCGGUAAUACGGAGGGUGCAAGCGUUAAUCGGAAUUACUGGGCGUAAAGCGCACGCAGGCGGCUUGUUAAGUCAGAUGUGAAAAUCCCCGGGCCUCAACCUGGGAACUNCAUUUGAAACUGGCAAGCUUAGAAUCUGCNUAGAGGGGGUAGAAUUCCAGGUGGUAGCGUGCAAAUGCGUAGAGAUCUGGAGGAAUACCGGUGGCGAAGG